rfam:Stegodyphus mimosarum contig111730, whole genome shotgun sequence.
GCGUCCGUGGUGUAGUGGUCAGCACGCUCGAAACGUAACCGAGAGAUCAGUGGUUCGAUUCCCGGCGAAGGCG